rnacentral:rRNA from 1 species
GACGAACGCUGGCGGCGUGCUUAACAGAUGCAAGUCGAACGGAAAGGCCCUGCUUGCAGGGUACUCGAGUGGCGAACGGGUGAGUAACACGUGGGUGAUCUGCCCUGCACUUCGGGAUAAGCCUGGGAAACUGGGUCUAAUACCGGAUAGGAGCCAUUUUUAGUGUGAUGGUUGGAAAGUUUUUUCGGUGUAGGAUGAGCUCGCGGCCUAUCAGCUUGUUGGUGGGGUAAUGGCCUACCAAGGCGGCGACGGGUAGCCGGCCUGAGAGGGUGGACGGCCACAUUGGGACUGAGAUACGGCCCAGACUCCUACGGGAGGCAGCAGUGGGGAAUAUUGCACAAUGGGCGCAAGCCUGAUGCAGCGACGCCGCGUGGGGGAUGACGGCCUUCGGGUUGUAAACUCCUUUCGCUAGGGACGAAGCUUUUUGUGACGGUACCUAGAUAAGAAGCACCGGCUAACUACGUG